GGAGUUUGUUAUACUGCAAGUAUUAGGGAAAACAAUUCUUCCUUCCUGGGUUGGUAAGCAUGUGACCUCAGUCUUCAGGGUAUGCAGUAAAGGAUUAACUUUGCCCUGAAGAGGUUUGGCCCUUUUGCUCCCAGCUGCAGGGCUGUAAUUUCUAAGCCCUUGGAAUGUUCUGCCUGUAGGAGUGUCUUUGUUUACCGGAGGUCUUGAGCAAUACCAGAUAGUCUGUGCUAACAAUGUAACUUUUGGUGGGGGACCUUUGGACAUGUGGUACCACUCAAGCUCCAGAGGGGUUAGAGACAGGGUAGUCACAUGGGUGAACAGAAUGUCCGAAUGGCCAACUCCCAGUAAAAACUCUGGACAACAAAGCUUGGGUCCUAGACAGUGCAAUACACAAAAGAAAUAUGAGCUAUAAUUAUUGGAAUGAAGAAACUGUCAUGAUUACAGAGGGAGAGGAAAAGGCCCAACACCUGCUUGUCAGGGCUCCUGGAUCACGCCCUGCUGCCUGCUGACCUAUAUUGGACUCAAGCCCUUCUUCUGGCAUGCUCACCUGUUAACCCACCUAUCAGCCCACACCUCUGACUGCUGGCUGCUCCCCAUUGAGCCUGAAAUACUGUGCUAUCUGCCUGUACCCUUUUGCAUAAGCUGGGGUUGGGUUAUCUCAGAUUUCUACCUGGGCCUGGUCAAGAUUGCCACAUACCUCACCUCUUCUGUUCUGGUCCUCAUCCUGUGUUUCUGGACAAAAAUAACAUUUGAGUAGAAAGCUUUUCUACUUGUUGACAUAGUUGAACAGAUUUUGCUUUAUUGAGAUGAAAUGGAGCCUAAAUUUAUCUGGAAAUGUGUGGAAUCAGUAGAGAGAAGUAAACACAACUCGAAGAAAGCGGGAAACCCCUGUGUACAAUUCAGCUUUUUCACUCCCAGGGAGUUGGGCAUGAUCGUAAAGAAUGAUGUUUUCAAGCCUGCCAAUAACAGAACACGUCUGUAUCCAUUGUGGAUGGGCUUCUGUUGAGAAAGCUUCCUUUUCGCCCAAGUAGAGGAGCUCUUCACCGCCCUAAGAUCCUGCUUUCCUACUCCCAUGUCAGAGCAGGAAAAGGUGAAUAUUUUUCACACAGAAUAGCCUCAUCCACUCCUACGGGGAGUGAGAUAGUUCCUGUAGGUUGCUAGUGAUGGCGUAAAAUUACAGCUCACUAGAGAAACAGUUGCAAGUAAAGAAAUAUAUACAUUUCCUCUAUUUGUGUUUCCUGUCUGUGUUGUCUAAGUUGCAAACAACAGACUCCACUUUAGCUAGGUUAAAGGGAAAAGAGGUUUAAUAAAGAAAAUUAAAUAGCUUAUAGAAUCACUGGGGAACUAGAGAAACAGAUUUAAGGCUAAGCUUCCAGAAACAUAUCCCAAAACAUGCCCCCAAACCAUGACACUGACAUGAAGAGACAGUUGUCAUUGCUGCUUUAUUGAACAGAGGACUGAGAAUUUUUCUACAAUCACUGCUGUUCUCUGCACUGAUGGAAGCCAAGCCUGCCUGGAGAACUCAACUUUGCAACCCAAAGCUGGUGGCUAAUGUGGCUACCCCUACCAACAAAAUGGAAACUCCACCACGUGUCUGAAUCCAGCUCUCACGAGACUGCAUCUUGCUAUGUUGCCCAGGCUGGUCUUGGACUCCUGGCCUCAAGCACUUCACCAGCCUCAGCCUCCUGAAGUUCUGGGAUUACAGGCAUGAACCACCAAGCCCAGAAAAGAAAGUCCGUUUCUUCUAAAAAUGGAGAGGGAUUUAUUGAAUAUAUAUCAUAGCAUGUCAAGACAGCUAAGAUCAUCUUAGUAGACUCAUUUUUAGAAAAGUCAACUUUAUAUAGGUAUAAUUUACAUAUAAAAUGUAUUCAUUUUAAGUGUAUGUUUUGAUGCAUUAUAAUUAAUGUAAAUGAUCAAAAUACUUAACAUUUCAAUCGUCUCCAAUGCUUCUUUUAUGGACCUUCCUGGAAUUUGCUGUAAGUUCUUUUGUGUCUGGUAUCUUGACUCCACAUAAUAGUCUUGAGAUUCAUCCAUGUUUUUGCAUCUGUCAGUAGUCUAUCUCUUUUAGCUGCUGAGCAGUACUCCAUUGUAUGGUUGAAGUACAUUCUGUUUAUCCAUUCACUUGUUGAUGGACAUUGGGGUUAUUUUUGGCUAUCAUCAUUAGAACUGCCAUGAACAUUCCUGUGUAAGUCUUUUUGUGCAUAUAUAUUUUCAUUUCUUUUGGGUAAAUACCUGAGAUUGGAAUUGCUGUAAUUGGAGGGUUAUAUGGAGAAUAUAUGCUUAACUUUCUAAGUUAUUGCCAUCUCUUUUCCAAGUGCUUUUAUCAUUUUACAUACCAAUACUGUUUGUACCACAUCCUUGCAAACACAUGUUGUCAGUGUUUUAGAAUUUUAACUGUUCUAGUGUGUGAGUAGUGGUAGCUCAUUAUGGUUUUAAUUUGUAUUUUCUGGAUGACUACCGAUAUUGACUAUCAUUUUACAUGCUUCUAUGAAAUAUCUGUUGAAAUCUUUCAUCCACUUUUAAACUGGGUUGCCUUUUUAUUAUUGAAUCAUAAGAGUUUUUUUUUUAAACAUAAAUUUUGGAUACAAAUUUUUUGUCAUACACAUGUACAACAAAAAUUUUCUCCAAGUAUUUAAUAGCACGAGUCAUCAUCAUCAUUUUCAAAAAUUUCUCAGUUGUUUUUAACUCUUUAUUUCUUCAGAUGUGUUCUAUAAUGAUUUUGUUAAGCUUAGAAAAAAAUUACUGUGGAGAUUUAACUAGAAAUGAUUAAAUUUAUCAAUGAACUUGUGAAAAGCUAGACAGGUUUAGGGUAUCGUCAUCCCUUCCUGUUGAUUCAUAUAACUUUCCAUUUAUUAAGCACUUAGGCUUUAAGUGAAGUUUCAUGUUUUUAACGUAGUUGUGAAUAUUUUUGUUAAUGCUUAAAUAUUUUAGGGCCAAGCAUGGUGGCUCACAACUGUAAUCCUUGCACUUUGGGAGGCCGAGGCGGGUGGAUUGCCUGAGCUCAGGAGUUUGAGACCAGCCUGGGCAAUACGGUGAAACCUCAUCUCUACUAAAAAUACAAAAAAUUAGUUGGGCAUGGUGUGGGUGCCUGUAAUCCCAGCUACUCGUGCAGCUGAGACAGGACAAUCACUUGAACCCAGGAGGCAGAGGUUGCAGUGAGCUGAGACCGUGCUAUUGCACUCCAGCCUGGGUGACAAAGCAAGACUCUGUCUCAAAACAACAACAACAAAAACUACUUUAGAAAGAUACACAUAUUGGGGAAAAUGCUCAUUUUAUUUGGACACAGGAGACAUGAAUUGAAGUUUUAAUUCUGUUUUUAUAUGGCAUGUUACAUGAGCAAGUAAUUUGAGCUUUUGUGAAUUCAAUUUUUCUGCAAAUAACAUGUAUAAGUUAGCUACUGCUGUGUAACAAAACCCACCCCAAGACUCAUUGGCUUGAAAGAGUAACCAUUUAUUAUUUCUCAUGACUGUAGGUCAGCUAGGUGGUUUCUCUGGACAAGACAGGUCAUUCAUGUGUCUGUAGUCAUUUGUGGUUUGGGGAGGCAGCUCUUUGACUUUGGCUAGCCUCCUUACCUGUGUGGGAGUUGGCCAGCUGCUGGCUAGUCUAGGAUGGCUUUGUUUAGGACAACCGGUUUAUCUUUUAUGUGGGCUCUAAGGCUUGAGCUUGUUUAUUUCACAAAGAAAAGUUUCAGGAGAAAGAGUAGAAGUGUGCAACGCUUUUUGAGGACUAGGUUGGGAACUUGACCCAUGUCAUUUAUCAAUAUGAAUCUCGUGACUCACAAAGCUGACUGAGAUUCAAGGAGUGGGGUGAAAAACCUGAAAACAUAGAUGACAAACUACAAAUGGUAACUUUUUGGGAGUGAGGAAAUUAUAGGUAAUUUUCACUUUUUCUGUUUUGCUAAUAUUAAUUGUAUACGUUUUUGUACUUUAAACUUUACUGUUAUAAUCAGAAAAAUUGUACUUUAACAAUAUAUUCAUUACUUGGGAUAUAUACCUGUUAAUAUAAAAUAAUGUACUAAUUCAUUUGUAGCCUGAAUAUCAGCUGAAGUAACCCCUCUGGUUUGAGAGUUUAGCAAAAACUGACUUGAACCUUCUUUCCUAAUGUUAUGCAUGAAAUUUGCUUAAAUAAACCCUUCUUAAGAUUUCUGUGAAUUUCCAGGAGAUGAGUUGUUUUCCAUUCUGUCUCCUGUCCCUGUCCAAUUGUUUUGCUUUUUUCACAAACAGCAUGAACAGCAAGCUUUUGGGAAUGCACAGGUGUUAUUGAGGUCUUGGAGUGAUUAAUUUGCCACUAAUCAUUUAAGUUUUAAUCAUUUAAAUGAUUAGGAGUAAAUUAAAAUGUAAAUGAUUAGGGGUAAAUUAAUCACUCCCAAGUGUCCAGAAGAACCACCUAGCUGAUGUACAGUCACGAGAAAUAAUAAAUGGUUACUGUUUCAAGCCAAUAAGUCCCGGGGUGGGUUUUGUUACACAGCAAGAGCAAGCCUAUACAGGUUAUUUGUAGAAAAAUUGAGUUCAAGGCCAGGCACAGUGGCUCAGGCCUGUAAUCCCAGCACUUUGGGAGGAUCACCUGAGGUUGGGAGUUCGAGACUGGCCUGACCAACAUGGAGAAACCCUGUCUCUACUAAAAAUACAAAAUUAGCCAGGCAUGGUGGCAAGCACCUGUCUUCUCAGUUACUUGGGAGGCUGAGGCAGGAGAAUAGCUUGAACCUGGGAGGCAGAGGUUGCGGUGAACCGAGAUCAUGCCAUUGCAGUCCAGCCUGGGCAACAAGACCGAAACUCCAUCUCAAAAAAAAAAAAAAAAUUGAGUUCAAAAAGCUUAAAUUAAUUGUUCAUGUAACAUGCCAUAUAAAAACAGAAUAAAACCUUCAAUUCAUGUCUUCUGCACCCAAAUACAGAUUUUAAUUCUUAGAUUUAUUUGUAACUAAGCUUCCUUCCACCUCACUGCCCUGCCCUGUCCUGAACAGUGUUUCCACAAGUGCCCGCCCCACAGCCAGGCUGCUUGACCUCUCCACCUUCUCAAGUCUCCUUCUCAUCUUGGCCCUUCUCAUGCUGCUUUUAACCCCAAAAGUUGUUUUGUUUUGUUUUGUUUUGUUUUUCUCAUCUAGACCAGUUUGGCCAAUGUUCUGUUUUGCUGGCUCCUUCUUAAUAUGCCUUUAGGUAGAGUUCACCCUUUUAGCCCAACGGAUAUCAAUGAAAUACUUUGCUUUAAAUAUCCAGAUUGAUUUUAGAAAGAAGUAUGUGAAAUUAUUCCCUAAGGAUAGAAAUAGCUGCAGUCAUUGUAGUAUAAAAAUCAUAUAAAAAUCCUCUAUACAUGCAUUUAUUCAGCAAAUUUUUUAAAGCACCUACUAUCUUGUAGGCACUAUGCUCAGAAUAUGCUGGAAUUUGAAAGUGAGUGUUUUCCAGUCCUUAUGAAGCUCAUCAGCUAAUACUGUCUCAUUUUCCAAAGGUAUUUGGAGAAUAAAGUAUUGCUGCAAAUACCUGACUUAUAGAGAAUCUUUCAUCAAAGUUUUAAUAUUUGUCAAAAAGUAUAUACACCAGUCUUUAUGAGACAUAAUAGUAGUAGAACUUGAAAUUGAGAUGAACAAACAACAGUGAUGAAUGUUUGCAGAGCUGUCAGGGAAGAAAAUGAUUAAUUCACUAAGUAACAAUUCCUAGCUGCACUCUUACUACUGAGCAGAAACCUCUCAGAGGCCCUGAUGAAAUAAGAGGAGCCUAUACAUACUUCCCCGACCUCUAACAUCUCCCUGCCAACCAGAGAAGACAGAAUGCAUCUGUAGCAAGAAAUCAGGGAACGUUUAGAUACUACAUACUUGAUUAUGACUAUAAUUUCAAUAGCCAUGUUGAUGGAAAGACGUCUAUGUUGGCGAAAUGUCCCAAAGAAACUUUGCAAAAGAAACAGGCCUGACUUACUUUAAGACAUGUCAAAAGCAUUCUGAUCUACUCCAUAGUGGGCUUAAAAUUGGGUCAACUUGUGGAUGAAUAAGCUAGAUCACAUUUAUGUCUGAAAACUAGUCUACCAUUCAUAAAUCAUAUGAAAAUUGUUUAUUUUCUUCCUUCUUUUUCGCAUGUACCAGUCUCUUGCAUCUUUAUCCCUAUUGAAUGCUAUUAUCUUCGUAUGCCUAAGAAAAAAACCAAUUGCAAUCCAUUACAAAGAUUUUAACAAGUUAAUAAAAAAAUCUACAAAUUCCUUUAUGGGAGACAGUCCACCUUCAAGAAGGAAAGAGGUUGGGGGUGGUAGUGGAAUUCAAUAGGCCAUUCAGCGUUGAAAUGUGAACAGUAAGCCUAGUCUUUGGAUAAAUUCAUGCCAGAUUUGGCCUGCAGCUCUCACUGGGCAGUUCCCAGAUGCGAGCAGGCCUUUAGCCUGUGGUGAAGAAGCGCGGAAUAAUGCCUCUUUGAAUUAGUUUCAAAAUAGUGCUGCAAUGCAGACUGACAACUUCUGAUGCCAAAUUGCAAGAACAACACAUAAUAGCAGUCUGUUAAAAUACCCAUAGUACUACUAGAGGAUAUGGUUAUUAAUAUAAAUUAAAAACCAUGAAAAGAAACCAGAAUUAACUGGCAUCAGAUGACUAGCCUAACAGUAAGACACCAGAGUUUUUAUCAAGGCAAGGAUAUGUAAAACAAAAAAUAAUAAAAAUAUGCUGACAGUUGGAUAUAACUUGCAAUUACAUAUAGUGUUCGUCUAACAAGUUUAAAUAAAUAAAUAUAGCAUGUUUGCAAACAAACAAAAUAGAUCACUAGAAACGUACCCAUUUUACUUGGUGUAGUAUAUAAAGUAGACGGUGUAGUUGGGUGUGACUUUUAAGAUUACAAUGAGUUCUGAACAGGUCAGAAGGAUGGUAGCAGGUAACAAUUGGAAUUUGCACUGAGGCACAUGCUUGCCUGCAGUACUACCAUGAAUAUGUAUGGGAACAAGGUGUUUAUGUAGUUGAGUUGUCUUUACCUCUCAACUUGGUUUCUUUGUGAAAAAUGGCCAUCCAGGAGUAAUGCAAUUGUACGACUGAUUGCAAACGUUGCUAGCCUGUGGUUAAAGGCCAUGUACAUAAGAAACAUAUGCUGGUCCUUCUGCCUGCCCUGCUCAACCUCCAAACCCACGCCUGCCUCAGUCCUCUACUGCAUCACUGCAUCUGCACAAAUGUCACCCUGAGAGGCGAUCACCGAAAUCCUGGACUCUCAGUAUUAGUUUGUUAGGGCUGCCAUAACAAAGUAGCACAGAUGGGGUGGCAUAAACAACAGAAAUUCCGCUUCUCACAGUUCUGAAGGCUAGGAGUCCGAGAUCAAGGUACUGGCAGGGUUGGUUUUCACUGAUGUCACUCUCCCUGGCCCUUUGUCCCCAGGUCUCCACCCGGACUUCCCUCUGUGUGGAUGUCUGUGAUCUAAUCUCCUUUUCAUGCGAUGACAUCAGUCGUAUUGGACAGGGCCCGCUCUCAGGAAAGCAUUUUAACUUAAUCACUUUUUUUUCAAAACACUGUAUUCAUAUACAGUUAUAUUCUGAGCUAUGAGCAGCUAGUACUUCAAUGUUUGAAUUUUAGGAGUGCACAACUCAGCCUGUAUGUGGCAGAGGCUGAGGUGGGAGUAUCACGUAAGCCCAGGAGGUUGAGGUUGUGGUGAGUUCUGACUGUGCCACUGUACUCCAGCCUGGGUGACAGACUGAGACCCUGCUUCUAAGAAAACAAAAACAAAAACACCAAACACAGUUCAGCCUGUGACACUCUCUUUUCCUGUCUCUGCUUUAUUUCUCCUCACACGCUUACCACCACCUGAAGAUCCUUAUGUGUUGGCUUAACUGUUGUGUGUCUCUUUCUUCCAUUGGACUAUAAGCUCUCGGAGGGCAGGGCUGCCUUGACCGCCGGGGUCAUGAUGCUUAAACAAACAAGAAAUGCUAGCAAAUGCAAACAUUUGUGAAAGUCUUGGGACAUAUUCUUUGUGAUUAUCAAAGGCUUAUUUUAAAGCAAAAAACCUGCACGGUCCUCAAGUUUUACAGUUUGCAGUGGAAGUGUAAGCCUGCCAACAAUGUUUUCUUGGGAAGGACUAUUCUAUUUUACUGCAAGUAUACCCUUAAUUGCUAUUAAUUACUAUUAAUUACAAUAAUUGCUAUUUAAUACUAGUAUUGAAAUAUUUUUAAAAAGCAAAAUGAUACUACUAGAUGGGUUUAAAAAAAAUGUAACGUUCUUACUUAGCAAAAGAAGAAAAAAGAAAAAAAAAGAAAUACCCUGACACGUCUUCUAAAAUGUUGCUGGUCCUAAAGUCCUAACAGGUGGGUACCACAGUCAUCGACCUACCCUCUACCAUCAGUUAAAUGACUUUCUUUAUAUUUUUCCCAAGCCUCUCUUGCAGUGAGUUUUGGCAUGUGGGAAUUAAUUUCAUUUCUCUUUAUGCCCACAACAAAACCAAAAAAACCCCACAAAGGAAACAUAAACAUACAUACACAUAUCUUUUCUAAAUAUCUUUGUAAUUCCCUUAUUUUGCUUUAAGCUUCAGAAUUAAAGGACUCUUUUUAGUCUUUUUUUUUGAGAUGGAGUUUUGCUCUUGCCACCCAGGCUGGAGUGCAAUGGUGUGAUCUCGGCUCACUGCAACCUCUGCCUCCCGGGUUCAAGCGAUUCUCCUGCCUCAGCCUCUUAAGUAGCUGGAAUUACAGGUGCCUGCCACCAUGCUGGCUAAUUUUUUGUAUUUUUAGUAGAGACGGGGUUUCACCAUGUUGGCCAGGCUGGUCUUGAAUGCGUGACCUCAGGUGAUCUGCCUGCCUCGGCCUCCCAAAGUGCUGGGAUUACAGGCACUGUUCUAUGGAGAAGUUAAUUAUAGAAGGCAAUGCAUGACUAGAGACACUGCAGGAUAGCAGAGGUGCACUAGACAUAUUCCUUGCUUGCUUUCACUCUUUAUUUUCUCUUAGGAAAGGGUCUGCAACUUGAGCGUGUAUCAGAUUCAGGCAGUUUGCUGGUCUUUAUUUCUAGAGUUUCUGACCCAGUAGGUGUAAGAGUAGCCCAAGAACUUGCAUUUCUAACAACUGACUAAGUAAAUGCUUAUACUUUCUGGGGACCUAACUUUAAACACCUCUGUCCAAAGAUCAUGAUGGCAUUGGGGCAAUGGUCUUUGGCAUUUAUGAAGAAAGUUUCCCGAAAGUUUAGAUGAUUCUGAUGCGAGCAAGGGGCAGGGAGAUUAAGGAAAAAGGUAGAUAACAAUUACGUUAAGCCUCUCCCUCUAUCACCCCACAUUUCUGAGAGCUUCUGCUUUAGAAGGAAAUUUUUUUUUUUUUGAUGAAGUCUUGCUCUGUCACCCAGGCUGGAGUGCAGUAGCGCCAUCUCGGCUAACUGCAACCUCUGCCUCCCGGGUUGGAGUGAUUUUCAUGCCUCAGCCUCCUAAGUAGCUGGGACUACAGGCGCCCACCACCAUGCCCACCUAAUUUUUGUAUUUUUAGUAGAGAUGGAGUUUCACCGUGUUGGCCAGGCUGGUCUCAAACUCCUGACCUUAAGUGAUCCGCCCGCCUCGGCCUCACAAAGCAUUGGGAUUACAGGUGUGAGCCACUGCACCCAUCCUAGAAGGAAAUCUUAUUAGGCCAUGCUACUCCCAUGGCUACUUACAACGGUGAAGGAUGAGGCAACUAGAAAGAUAUUUAGUUUAAAAUCAUGCAUCAUAACAUUUUCCUUAUGAUGAGUACCUUCUCUAUAACUAUUUUUAAAUUAGAACAAAUAGUACAUGCUUAUUGAGCAAUUUAGAAUACUACAGAAAUCUUUAGAGUAAUUCAGCAUCACCACAGUUGCCUUGUUCUCGAUUCUCUUGAAAAGUUUUAACAUGGAUGGGUGUCUCCUGAACUGUAGAAAAUAACACCUGACUCUAGGAAAUAAAUUUGUUUUCUCUAGAAAACAAAGUGCUGGUGGGAGGGUGCUAAUGUGCUGGAGAUGCUGCCGUGAUCCUGGCCUCAUUGUCUGGAUACAGGAUGAGAGGCACAUUUACCAGGGAGUAGGGCCCUCACUUGCAUGGCGCCUUCCAAGAUCAGGGAGAGGCCCAAUCAAUGCAUUUGUAGGGUGUAUUCGUCUGUUCUCACACUGCUGAUAAAGACAUACCUGAGUCUGGGUGAUUUAUAAAGAAAGAGAGGUUUAAUGGACUCACAGUUCCACAUGGCUGGGGAGGCCUCACAGUCAUGGCGGAAGGAGAAAGGCACAUCUUAAACAUGGCGGCAGACAAGAGAGAAAAUGAGAACCAAGUGAAAGGGGUUCCGCCUUAUACAACCACCAGAUCUCAUGAGACUUAUUCACUACUACGAGAGCAGUAUGGGGGAAACCACCCCCAUGAUUCAAUUAUCUCCCACCAGGUCCCCCCAGCAAUACAUGGGAAUUAUGGGAGAUACAGUUCAAGAUGAAAUUUGGGUGGUGACACGGCCAAACCAUAUCACAGGGUAUUAGGCUUUUAUAAACUUUAUAAAACUAUAAACAUUUUUGUGUAUUUUUUUCAUAGCUCCCCUGCCUUUUCCCCUAAAUUAAAGAAGACUCAGUUUCCAUUUGGAUAAAAUUCUGACCCCUCAUAAAUAAAAUAAAUUUGAAGGAGAGGAAAAUUCACAUCUUUCACUGUAAAUAGCAUGCUCCUUUUUGUUUAUCAUGAAAAAGCUCCGGUUUACUCACAUUCCAUGUCAGUAAUUCCAUGUCAGUACUCCACCAUGUCAGAUUUGGUGGAGGUGGAUUUACCCCAUUUUACAAAGGACCGUGUAAAGUCAUUGAAGUUGUGAAAGUCUAUUUUUUUCCUGUAAAUCUAUUUUUUACAGAAUAUAAGAAACAUCAGUGAUCUGAUCUGUCCUUCCUCCUCCUUCCCGCUUCCCCCAAAAUCACAUUCCAGUUUUUACUGUCUUUGUGUCCAAAGUAAACUAGGUGACUUAUUUGUAUAAAAUGUUAUUUUGCCGCAAGAGACAGUAAUAAAAGAAAGAUUUUCACAGAAAAAAAAAAAAAAGAAGAAGCUCUUGUUGUUGGGAGGUAUUUCACUCUGUCAUAAUUUAUCUUUAAUAGAUCUAUUUAGUAUCUAUUGAGAGAUCAACUUAAUGAAGAGAUUUGUGUCUCUCAGCUUUUAAUUUAACAAUUUAAGGCUACUAGUGAAUUCACAGAUCAAAGAUUGAAGCCUUAAUUGGUCACUUGCCUUUGCAUUUUAGAGGCUGUUUAAUCAUUUGAGGGUAGUUACACUGUUGCUGUUAAUAUAAAUUUCAUGACUUUUUCCUUUGAUAUUUGUUCAAAUGCACAUUUCGAGGCAUCCUCUGCUUGCUCUCUGUCUGGUCUUCCAAUCUAACGAUACUGGUCUUGAUAGGAACUAGCAUAUCCUUAACUACUCAGAACCUCAGUCUGUCUCAUUUGUUAAUACAGAGGUGGAAAAUGAUAUUUUCUUCCCAAUACCUACCUCCAGGAUUAAAUAAACCAAGUACAUACAGCCCGAUGUCUGGCAAAUGCCAAAGUCUUCUAGUUGACUCUGCAUAAAGCAGUAGAAACCUGGAAGCUAUUCAGAGAAUUUUGACUUUGAUAAAUCAAGCCGAAUAUGUACCCUUCCCCCCAAUUAUUUGCUGAAUCAGGAAAAAUGCAUGCAUGUUUUGCAUUGCUUUGAAUAUUUGAGCAACUGCACCCAGAUAUAAAUUACUGAAUAGUUAAUGAUGCAAAUAUUGAAACAAUGCCUAUAUCUGUGAGUUAAAAGAAAAUCAGACCCCAGCAAAUUGCUAAUGGUAAAUGUAACAUAUCAGUCUUAUGAGUGAAAUGGAGUCUACAUAGUUGAUCCAGUGAUCACACAGCCAGAUUGUUCAUUCUUGUUGUCAUGUCUGGUUGACACAGAUUAUCGUCCAACUCUUUUGAAUGUAAGCAUUAAUAUCAAUUCCAAAUAUGGGUAAAGAUAAUCUUGGGGACUCUGGUAUGUACUGCUAGAUUGUCUUUGAAAUUUGUUCUUCACUUUUUACUUUAGUAAAAGACCUCAAAAUUUUAGUCAGACUUAAGGCUCUCUGAGAAAAAUAAAAGCGUACAUUUCCAGCCUUCCAUGAAGCUACAUGUGGCCGUGUGGCAAACUUCUGGCCAAUGAGAUGUAAGUAAAAGUGAUGUAGGCAACUCCCCAGUAUUUCUGCAGCAGAGACUGGAGGGCAUUGUGCUCUUCCUUCUCCCAUUCUCCACCUUUCCAGUUAAAAUGAAUACAUCAUGGAGAAAAUUGGGGCGGUCAUUUUGGACAAGGAGGUGACUUUUAGAAUGAAAGUCAAGUAUAAUAAAGCAAAAAGAUAGAAAGAGUGUGAGUUCUUCCAAACAUUCUGUAAGAGGGUCACCAGAGCCCCUUGAUUUGUUUGAAGUGGGAGAAAUUAAUUUCUUAUUUUCAUCACAGUUACUUGGAAUUUUACUGUUAUGCACAAUGCAACCUGGUCCUAACAUAUUGGUCAUAUUGCAGUUAGAUUUGGAGGUCAAGUAUAAACAUGGCCUUACAGGGAUCUUGUUGCCGCUAUUAGAAAACAAU